rnacentral:lncRNA from 1 species
AUGCCACCCAAGAAGAAGAAAGGGGACAGAACAGAAAGGGGAAGAAGCUUUUUCAUAAAGCAGAGUCAGAAUGUAUUUGCAUCUAAUUAAGGUGACCAGACGUUGUGGUUUACCUAGGACAGUCCCGGUUUCACAAGGUAUGCCCCAGUGUCCUUCCAAUUCACUUAAAAAAUUGAAAUAUGGCCUGGUUUUUAGCUGUUCAACUUGCUCACUGGUUAAAAAGUAUGCAUCUUCAAUGUUCCACUCUUUUCCAUUGUACUGUAAGUUGAUUUGUCAACACAUACAUUCUAGAACAUCUUUCACCUUGCAGUGUAUGUGGUGGCUAUUACAAAAGAACACAUUAACAAUAUCACAGCCUCGCUCAGUGCAAUCAGUUUCUAAAGAUAUCUGAAGAAAUUGCCAAAUGAAACUGCUGAAAUAAGCUGAUCUCUUUUCACAACACAAUGUAAAUGCUCAUUUUCCAUCGCCCACUAAAAUAAAUCAGAAAUGGCAUCUGAUAUUGUUCAAACAGCUAAGACACAGCACUUUCUUAUAUACUGUAGUACAAACAGAAAAUUACAUGCAAGUACAUUUUAUGGUUUGAGGAUCCAUUAAUGUAGAUUAAAAUGUUUUGAUUAAAUGUUUCAGGAAGUCUUUACUUGAAUUGCAAUUUUACACUGAAAUGUAAAAAAAAUUAACAAAAAAAUACACAUACACUAUUACGUUUGGGGUCAGCAAGAUUUUAAAAGAAAAUAUUUAAUUUAGCAAUUAUUUAUUUAAAUAAAACUAUUUGUUUUUAAUCAAAAGUGACUGUUAAGACAUUUAUAAUGUUAAUAUGUGUGUGUGUGUGUGUUUCUGAAGCAUAAAAUAAGCUAAUUAAAAUGCUUUUUGAAAGAUCACGAAGACUGGAGAAAUGGCUGCUGACUUUUUAAUGUAAAAAUUUUUUUUGAAUGGUAUUAGUGAGUCGUAUUAGGAAAUAAAUGUAAACCAAUAUUUUGUAGUAUUUAUAACAUUUCUCUUGCCGCAUCUACCAUUUUGAAUUUCUUUUUUUCAUUGUGCUCAUUACAGUGCUUUAUUAGUUUGCCUCAUCUGUGAUGGAUACAUGCAGUGCUGGCUUAGAAUUUGGCCAAAAUGAGGUAUCUUAGGCAGCAGCUUAAUUAAGUUGUUUACGUUUUGGAAGCGCUCACUAGGUUUGGAACCGAGUGAAUAUCUUUUGUUAUUUGCAUUCGAUUCUCCUCUAAAUUUGGGGCAAUUGAAUUAAACAGGAGGGAGAUGCCCAUGAAGAUGCUUGAAACACACUGGGAUUAACCUAAAGAAAUUAUGCUAGCAGGAAUAUGCACCUAAUAUACUGUACGGCAUUUAAAUAUGCUAACGAUAUUCCCAUCAUUAUUUCAAAGAACGAUAGGCAGGCACCUCCACAACCUGCCGAUGUUUCCCAAAUUGGGACUUGGGGGAAAAAAAAAUCUCAUAACUAAUUUGUUCUAAACUCUCUCUGACUCUCCUCUCCUCCCCCUUAUCUACUUUAUAUUUUUCUCUUUCAUUAAAGAAAGAGUGUGGCAUCCAUGUGAAGUUGAGAAUAAAUGCGAUCGUGUGUUAAAGCUGAAUUGGAGGGAGGGGGAUACAGACCGAGUGGUUGGCGUGUUAGUGCAGUGGGGAGUGGGGCUAAACGAAAACAGAUCUGAGAUGGAAAGGGUGAGAAUGAGCUGGCACAGCAAACGGCAUAGACUGGCAGGAGUCUACUGGUGUGUGUGUGUGUGUGUGUGUGUGUGUGACAGAGAGAGAAAGAUGUGUCUCUGUUUCUGAAAGAUACUGUGUAUGCGUGUAUGUGUGUGUGUUUGCGCGUUCGUGUGUGUGGCCAUGUGCGCUUGUGGACAUUAACUCUGUUUCACCCUCAGUAAUGCAUUGUGAUUGGCUGGAUGGGAGCUGGCUUUGGCACAGUCUCAUUUCCGCAGAAGGCCGUACAACAGGAGGGCCUCGACCACAUGCCGCAUCUGCCUCCUAUUUUGCUGCCAGCACACACACGAACGUGCACACACACACAUACACACAGGUGUUCAUAUACAGGUGCUUAUAGACCUUUAUACACCCAUAUAUACAUGCAGUAACGUCAUUUUUAAAACUUGAGGAAAAAAGUGUCACACAAUUUCACCUGCAAUUAGUAUGUUCACACUGUCAGAAGAGUGUUUUCUUCAUUCUUCAGUCUGUCUGUCUGUAUAUCUAUCUAUCUAUCUAUCUAUCUAGACUCUCUGUUUUUUAAUGUUUUUGAAAGAAGUCCUUUAUGCUUAUCAUACUUAUUUGAUGAAACGUACAGUAAACAAUAUUGUGAAAUAUUGUUACAAAUAUUGUUUUUUUCAGUUGCUUUGGUGCAUUUCUCAAAUCAUCCUUGAUAUUUGCAAAGGAGUACGUGCAUUUAUCAAAACAACUUGAGUCAGUCUCUAGAGACUGGUUCCUUAGUAGAAGUCUCAAUGGGUCCUGCACACUGUAGAGAGAGGCUACAGAAUCCAGUUUGGUUCUCCUCCACCUUGGUUCAACAGGGUUAUUCCCACAGUGGUGGGUCCUGAGCAGGCUCUGGUCAUAAAAGUGCACACUCUCCUGAGGAAGGAGGCCAUCGAGGUGGUCCCUCCUCUCAAUAGAGAUUCUGGGUUCUACAACCGGUACUUCAUAGUUCCAAAGAAGGAUGAAGGGUUGCGUCCAAUUUUAGAUCUGCGUCUAUUGAACCGCUCAGUCAAGCGACUGAAGUUCAGGAUGCUCACUCAAACAGGCCAUGUCUCAGAUCACUCAGAUCAGUUUGCACACACAGUCCAAUUUCCAUAAUUUUGCACACGUUUAACCAUGUUCUCAUUCAGAAAACACAAACACACAAUAUAAUUAACUCAAGCAUAAAAAAAAAAAAAAAACUCAAAUCUUAGGAUGAUAUGCACAGGUGCAAGAGUGAUUAAGAGUUUUGGAAAAUGAACCCUGGUAUUGGGAGACAAAGAGGAAUAAGAGGGGAAAAUUUGAUCAAAUACAAAGCACUAUAGUUGACCAUGCUCUUUUACAUGAACUGACCAUGAGGGAAGUUGGCUUACAGGCCUAAAUCAAUAAGUCAAAUACGUUUUUGCACUAAAAUAACACACAGUUAUGGGUUUUGCUAAAUUAAAGGAAAGUUUUGAAUGAAAAGUUUAAUUUUGCAAAAGAUUCUAAAGUGUUCUGCUACUUGGGUGUGUGGAUCUGUGAAUUUUGUGUUGUGUUUUGUCAAAAUGAGUCUUGUUUUUAAAAUUGUGCUUUUAUUAUGUAUUUAUUCAUUUAUUUAUUUUUGGAAAGUAACUGACAGUAUUCCAAUGUGUGUUAAGUGUAUAUUCUGCUUUUCAUUUACUUUAAGAUAUCUGUACAGUAGUGUAAUGACAGUGAAUGUUUCUCAGUUUAUUGAUGAAUUUUAUUCUAUCUGCAUCCCUCUCUAUAUGUUGUAUACUGUAACAGUCAUUGAUUAGCACAGUGAUUCCUAUUUUCCCAAAAGGAGGUUUUUAUAAAAGUGUUUUUAAUUGAUCUCCCUAUUGUCCUCUAGGCAGUGAAGUAGUUUUGACAGGUUUGUGUGUCAUCUGAAGCCGUAGUUUGAGUCUGACAAAAGAGAACAUGUUUUUGACUAAACUAUUUGAUUUUGACCUGGAAGUUUGACGUUUGCACAAGUUAGUGUGUAGUUUUGAGAUUGUGUUUAUAGUUGUUUCAAAAUGGUAAAUUGUUUCAUGAAUUGUGUGUUAGCAAUUGAGAGAAACAGCAAGAAAGAAAAACAAGAACAAAAGAAACAAAAUAUAUAUAUAUAUAUAUAUAUAUAUAUACAAACAACAUUGUUUAAUCAAUGCAUCGUGCAAUGCAAUAACAAUGUGAUUUGCAGCUGUCGCAUGGCAACAGUUUGGAUGACAGUUACUGUGUUGAAAUGCAGAAGGCUGCACUUCUGUAUGCCAUAUAUCCAUUUAAAAAAGUACAAAUUUACACAUUACUGUAUGUGGGAUAUUGAUUGAAAGAAACUGAAUAGGAUUCACAGUUAUACUUUUAUUAGUGGUCUGACAAAACGCACACGCACACACACAUACACACAAUGUCAUUGUGAUACAGAAAAGAAGAACUGGGCACAAAGGCAAAAAUACACAAUUAAAAACUCCAUUAUCAGAAUUUGUAACUCUUGUUUUGUCCUCUGUCUAUAUAUGCUUUCCAAUGCAAGGUUCAUAAGAUGUACCUUUGAGCUAUUUCAGAGAACUGGUUUGUCAUUGGUUGAUCUAUGUUCUCUUCAUUAGUGAAAGUCUUUACUGGAUGGAAUAUUUAUACAAUCAGAAAUUAUUUAGUCACACAGCAGGCAGGACUAUUUAAAAUUAACUGAACAUUUAAAUAAUAAUAAAAGAAUAGUGAAAGUCUUCAAAGUUUUACUUUCACAGUUCAUGGCGAAUUUCCAAAAAUAUAUUUGAAAUGUGUAGAAAAUAUUCUUGACCGUUUAUGACAACUACAUCAACCAUUUUGCAUUGAAUGACUUACAUGAUGAACUAAUGUUUUGAGGUGUGAGACUUGCACAGAGAGCUAUAUUAUACAUUUUGAGCAUAGCGUGACAUUAGUAACUGAUAGUGUAGUAAACUGCAGAUAAACGUACAUAAUCAAUUGCAGGAAUGUACAAAAGCAUUCACAACUUGUUCAAAAGAAUGGAAAACUGAUUUUAUUAUUUAUGUACAAAUUACUAGAUGAUGUGGAGGUUAUACAAGCAGUUUUGAGAAUUUCAUUUCUGAAUUGAGAAAUGCACCAAAGCGACUGAGAAAAACUGUAAUAUAUUUUAAAUGUAAUCUAUUCCUGUGAUGGCAAAUCUGAAUUUUCAGCAGCCAUUACUCCAGUCAUCAGUGUGUUACACAGUCUUACUGAAAUUAUUCUAAUAUGCUGAUUUAAUAUAUAUAGACACAUUAAAAUAAAAUUAGAUGUCUUUUAUAAAGUUUCUCAGCUGUGUCCUUUUUUUUUCUGGUCAACAUUAUCAGAUAAUGUUCCUGAAGGUCGUUCUCACUCCAUAUUUGUCACAGUCAUGGACUUCUAAUCUCCUGUUCCUUUUGAGUUUUCCUUAUUUGGUCAUGUUCCUCUUCUGGUUUAGUUAAUUGAUUACUCCCCUCCUGUUUAUGUUCUUCUGAUUACUUUCCUUGUGUUUAUAAACCCUGUCUGUUUAGUUCUUGGUUGUCGGUCCUUAGAGUAGCAUAUAGUAAAGUCAAGUCAAGU